rnacentral:rRNA from 1 species
GAUGAACGCUGGCGGCGUGCCUAAUACAUGCAAGUCGAGCGAACAGACGAGGAGCUUGCUCCUCUGACGUUAGCGGCGGACGGGUGAGUAACACGUGGAUAACCUACCUAUAAGACUGGGAUAACUUCGGGAAACCGGAGCUAAUACCGGAUAAUAUAUUGAACCGCAUGGUUCAAUAGUGAAAGACGGUUUUGCUGUCACUUAUAGAUGGAUCCCGGCCGCAUUAGCUAGUUGGUAAGGUAACGGCCUACCAAGGCAACGAUGCGUAGCCGACGGGAGAGGGUGGUAGGCCACACUGGAGCUGGGCCACGGACAUGACUCCUGAGGGAGGCACCAGUAGCGAACCGUCGGCAACGGGGGAAAGCCUGACGCAGCGACGCCGCGCGAGUGAUGAAGGCCUUCGGAUCGUAAUGCCCGGUUAUGAGGGAAGAACCACUUUGUAAGGAAACAUGGCCGGCUUGACGGUACCGAAUAAGAAAGCAACGGCUAACUACGUG